CGCAGAGUGGUGUAAUGGCUAACACGUUAGCCUCAUAAGCUGAAGACUGCCGGUUCGACUCCGGCCUCUGCGCCCA
rnacentral:tRNA from 1 species